rnacentral:lncRNA from 1 species
GCUGCCUCCCCCGCCUUGGCUGGCUCAUCCCUUGUAGGUCCUGCCGGGCUGGGGCCUGGGGUCUCCGAUGGGCUCUCGGCUGGCUCGUCCCCUGCAGGUCCUGCCGGGCGGGGGCCUGGGGUCUCCGAUGGGCUCUCGGCUGGCUCAUCCCUUGUAGGUCCUGCCGGGCUGGGGCCUGGGGUCUCCGAUGGGCUCUCGGCUGGCUCGUCCCCUGCAGGUCCUGCUGGGCUGGGGCCUGGGGUCUCCGAUGGGCUCCCAGGGGUACCUUCUUUGGGCCCCGUUCGACCUUCUGUGUCCUCCUCAACCCCGUU